CAGGGGCGGGGGGCAUUUCUGACUCCCUUCUGACUUCUGCUCCCUGCCCUGUAG
ensembl:miRNA bta-mir-12046 bta-mir-12046